GGUUGUGGCUGUGAGUUUCUCCGCCAGUAAACAAAUACUCUGUGCCUUGUUCUUCGUUCCCAGACAGCAGCUUCAGAUGGUUAAACACAAGAACAUUCUUGAUCACGUGGCUCAAAAUAACAAAGGGAAGCAUGAAACAGCUUUUCUCGGAGGGUCUGAAGAUGGAGAACAUGCACCUAUAGGUGAAGAGGUCUUUGGUGGCCAAGGUAACUCGGUGGACAUUUAUUUGAGCAUCACGAUGUCCUAGACACGGUGCUGGUAUCAGUGAUGGUGCAGGGGCACAGAAGAUGCGUCCUGUUCUCAGCGUGCCCAGGGCUUGGUAGAAAAGGAAGUUGGAGUUGAGGGAUUGGAUUCAAGUUUUCUCAGCCUCCAGAAGAAACAAGGCUUUGGAUCAACA
rnacentral:lncRNA from 1 species